rnacentral:rRNA from 1 species
UACGUAGGGACCAAGCGUUGUUCGGAUUUACUGGGCGUAAAGGGCUCGUAGGCGGCCAACUAAGUCGGAUGUGAAAUCCCCAGGCUCAACUUGGGAACUGCAUCCGAUACUGGAUGGCUUGAAUUCGGGAGAGGGAUGCAGAAUUCCAGGUGUAGCGGUGAAAUGCGUAGAUAUCUGGAGGAAUACCGGUGGCGAAGGCGGCAUCCUGGACCGACAUUGACGCUGAGGAGCGAAAGCUAGGGGAGCAAACGGG